GGCGGCAUGCUUAACACAUGCAAGUCGAACGGCAGCAUGAUGUGUAGCAAUACACAUUGAUGGCGAGUGGCGGACGGGUGAGUAACGCGUAGGAAUCUGCCUUGAAGCGGGGGACAACCCGAGGAAACUCGGGCUAAUACCGCAUAAUCUCGAGAGAGCAAAGCUGGGGUAACCUGGCACUUCAAGAGGAGCCUGCGUCCGAUUAGCUAGUUGGUAGGGUAAAAGCCUACCAAGGCGAUGAUCGGUAGCUGGUCUGAGAGGAUGAUCAGCCACACUGGGACUGAGACACGGCCCAGACUCCUACGGGAGGCAGCAGUGGGGAAUAUUGGACAAUGGGGGCAACCCUGAUCCAGCAAUGCCGCGUGUGUGAAGAAGGCCUUCNGGUUGUAAAGCACUUUAGUUUGGGAGGAAGGUAUUUUGUUUAAGAGAUGAGAUACUUGACUGUACCGAAAGAAUAAGCACCGGCUAACUCUGUGCCAGCAGCCGCGGUAAUACAGAGGGUGCGAGCGUUAAUCGGAGUUACUGGGCGUAAAGGGCGCGUAAGCC
rnacentral:rRNA from 1 species